UGGAAACGUUGAAGACGAGUGAUGUUGG
rnacentral:sRNA from 1 species